GGUAAGUAUAGAGGUGCGGUUACUUAAGAGUAAGAUUAUCUUCAAUAGGGCUUUGGGUAAUCUGAAAGGAAGAACCGCCGAAGUGUAUAACUUUAGCCCAAAGAGUUAUAUGCUGGUUCUGCGUAAAAUAUAUGUAGAACUGUCACAAAAUGUAUUUUGUGGAGAGCUAUCUGCCAA
rnacentral:ncRNA from 1 species